rnacentral:lncRNA from 1 species
AUAAUGUGACUUGUAUUUGGAGAUAAGGCCUCAGGUGUGAGGCUACAGCCCAAGGUCUGGGGUGUCAUCCAGGUAGAUCCAGAAGACAGAGCAUCAAGCCAAAGAGGAUUUUUCUCGAGCUGUAAAAUCUAAAGGAAUUUACCCUGUUAGGUUUUCAACUUGUUUGGACCUGUGGCCUCUUUCUUCUUUCUGAUUUUCCCUUUUGGAAUAGGAAUGUCUGUUAUAUUCCUGUCCCAUCAUUGCAUUUUGGAAGCAGAUAACUUGUCUGAUUUCAUGGAUUCACAGCUGGAAAGAAAUUUUACCUCAGCAUGAAUUGUAGCUUGAGUCUCAUGCACACUUGAUUUAGGUGAGUUUAGAUGAGAUUUUGGAUUUAGAGUAGAUGCUGGAAUGGGUUAAGACUUUUGGGCUGUUGGGAUGGGAGUAAAUACACUUUGCAUGAGAGAAUGACAUGAAUUUUGGGGUCCUUAUGGUGGAGUGUUGUGGGCUGAGUUGUGUCCUCCCCAAAUUCAUUUGUUGAAGCUUUAACUCCCUGCACCUCAGGAUGUGGCUAUUUUUGGAUACAGACUCUUAAAAGAGAUAACUAAGUGAAAAUGAGGCAAUUAGGGUGGGCCCUAAUCUAAUUUGGUUGGUGUCUUUAUAAGAUGAGAAAAUUUGGACACACAGAGAGGCACCAGGCGUGGAGGUGCACAGGAAAGACCUUGUGAGGAUACCGUGAGAAGGCAGCCAUCUGCAAGCCAAGGAGAGAGGCCACAGAAGGAACCAAACCUGAUGGCACCCAGAUCUUGGACUUCUAGCCUUCUGAACUAUAUGAAGACUGAGUAACAGAGAGCAUAUUUUCUUGAGAAAAUCUGUGAGAGUCCUGAGCAUCUGUUAUUUUCCCUGAGCAGCAUUUUCUUUCUUUCCUUGUGGAUUCAACUGUGUGGCAUUUUGCACUAAGAGUAAGACGUCUGGAGUGAUUCAGCCAACCCAUUCGCCCCAGUGCUGACAAAGCAUCAAUUCCCGGACUUCUUGAAGGUGCUGCCAUUAUCUACCAUUUCAGGAAAACAGAGAGCUUAGAGGGAGUAGUGUACAAUUAUUUUCAGAAAUUAGAUGGCUGUAUUUGAAUCUGAGAACCCAAAUUCGUGGAUAAUAUAUAUUUUGUCUCUCUGUGUCUACCUCUGUCUCUCUCUUUCAUAUAGAGCAAAGGGUUAUGGUUGUGAAUUGAAACAUUAUCUAUCACUGGGAACUUUAUGGGGAGAAUUUUAAUAAAUACAUGGAUAUUUCAUGUGUCAUUUAUUGACAAAACAUAGAACUAAAUGAUUAAAACUAAUUUGCAUAGUUUGUGG